rnacentral:rRNA from 1 species
AUUGAACGCUGGCGGCAGGCCUAACACAUGCAAGUCGAACGGUAACAGGAAACAGCUUGCUGUUUCGCUGACGAGUGGCGGACGGGUGAGUAAUGUCUGGGAAACUGCCUGAUGGAGGGGGAUAACUACUGGAAACGGUAGCUAAUACCGCAUAACGUCGCAAGACCAAAGAGGGGGACCUUCGGGCCUCUUGCCAUCGGAUGUGCCCAGAUGGGAUUAGCUAGUAGGUGGGGUAACGGCUCACCUAGGCGACGAUCCCUAGCUGGUCUGAGAGGAGGACCAGCCACACUGGAACUGAGACACGGUCCAGACUCCUACGGGAGGCAGCAGUGGGGAAUAUUGCACAAUGGGAGCAAGCCUGAUGCAGCCAUGCCGCGUGUAUGAAGAAGGCCUUCGGGUUGUAAAGUACUUUCAGCGGGGAGGAAGGGAGUAAAGUUAAUACCUUUACUCAUUGACGUUACCCGCAGAAGAAGCACCGGCUAACUCCGUG